ACCUCCCCAUUCAACUUUCAUUUUAAUACCCGCGUAUUAUCCUUGACAACUGACAGGCUAGACAGCUACGUGAUGGGUUGAUACUUCAGAAGAAGACGGUUCGUUUGGACGCCUGUUAAACGAUGAUCAUCUUCAUCCAAAUUGUAAGCCAAAAGUCAUUGAGAUAGAUGAGAAGCCAGUUAUUUGCUUUUACUCUCUAAAACCAAUACCUCCAGAUACAGAACUGUUGUAUGAUUAUGGGCCUGGUAACAUGUAUCCUUGGAGAAGAAAGAGGAAGUAAAGGAUAUUGAUGCCAGUACUUGUGUUUCUUGUGUGGAUGAUGAGGAUCAGAGUGAGGAGGAAAUAGAUGACAGUCAAGACAACCAGAAUUUCCAAACUGUGACUCCAGGGAAGAGGGAGGCAGUAUCUGAUAGCGGAUGUUCCAGAGAAAUGGAUGAGUCUUCAUCCAAGCGACAGAAGUUACAGAAAAAGCCAUGGACUUCAUCUGAAAUGAACUCCAUUCACAAACAUUUUUCACACUUUAUUAUCAUUUUGAAGGUACCUGGGAAAAAUGAUGUAACAAAUGUUUUGAAAAAAGAUAAAAACCUUUCAAAAAGAACUUGGAGAAAUGUAAGAGACCAAGUCUACAAUCUAAUUAAAAAACAGAGAAAAUGUUGAUUUCGAUACUACUUUGAUUGUUCACUACAAUUGAUGGUAUCUGUAUGAAAAAUGAUAUUUUUGUUUACAGUUCUUACAAUUUACAUAAAUUGUACAUAAUAGAAUUUGUUGAAUCAUUAUCAAAAUAGAUUUUGACAAAUUUCAGCUUUUUAGUGACCCUUUCUGAUCAAAAUUUGUCUGUUGUCUGUCGUUGUUGUGACCGGAAGGUCGGAUGUUCGAAUCCCUGCUGCGACUUGACCUGAGUCAAUAAGAAAUAGGUAGCAACUGUUCCAUGGCCAAGCGCUCAGCACAUUGAAAUAAAAGUUUCAGGUCUUUCAGAUGAGACCUUAAAAACUGAGGUUCCGUGUCAUGGUAGGUGUUGGCAUGAUAAAGAUCCCUCACUGCUUGAUGGCCCUAAGUUCCGAGUAAAGGUCUAAAUUUGAAGCCCUUCACUGGUAUAUGGUGAGGUCUCUAUAUGACUGAAAAAUCUCAAACGGGAUGUAAAACAACAUACAAUCAAUCUAUCAAUCAAUCAUUGUCAACUUUUUACAAUAUAAUCUUCUCCAGAACCACUGGACCAGUUUCAACCAAACUUGGAACAAAUUAGGAAUUCAAGUUUGUGCAUAUGAAGGGCCACACCGUCUUUCAAGGGAAAAUAAUUAAGAAAAAGUAAAAGUGGGUGUUGUCAUUCAAAAAUCUUCUUCUCAAGAACCUUUGAGUCAGUAAAGAUGAAACUUAAAUGAAAGCUUUCUGACAAAUUGUAAAUUCAAUUUAUUCAAAUCAUGACCCCCGGGGUACUGGUGGAGCCAUUAUGGGCAAUCAAAGCUUUACAUAGGAAUACAUAGGAAAAAUCCUUAAAAUCUAUUUCUCAAGAACAGCAUAGCUAUGAUAAUUCAUUUUAUAUGGAGGUAUCCUCAGGUAGUGUAGAAUCAAGUUUGGUCCAAUUGCGGCCCUGAGGUAGGGUGGGACAACUAUGGGCGGUCAAAUUUUUACACAGGAAUACAUAGCAAAAUUCUCUAAAACUAUUUCCCCCAUGAAUAAAAAAGUAAUGAUUAGUCAUAUGUAUAUAGAAGCAUCCUAUGGUAAGCAUAGAUUCAAGAUUGCUCUAGUCAUUAAUCCCCCCCCACUACCUCCUGGGCUUCAAUGGGUAAUCAAAUAAAAGUUUUUCAUAGGAAUGUGUAGGGAAAAAAAUCUGAUUAAAAACAAGAAUGGUCAUAGUUACUCAGGUGAGCAUUUUGUCCCAUGGGCACAUUGUUAACAUUGUUUAAUCAAAAUGCAGAGAAUAUGUUAAUUUGCAUAUUACAGGUACAUGUAAUAUUGAUCAGUUGGUCAUGUGAUAUAAUUUUAUAUCUGAAAUGAAAUGAUGACAAUUGUAUGAAUGAUGAUGAGUUUAAAGUCAGAUUCUUUAACACAUGUAUUUUCAAGAAAAAAAUUGUCUGGAGGUAUUUUGGAAAUUUACUUUUUAUAGUAUUGUAAUAAAUGUUUGUUUUCAUGCUAUGUUGAAGGUCAAGUAUCUAUGAACACAACUGAUUUGAAUGAACAUCAGAAGCAUUAGAUUAUGUAUUUACAACUGAAACUGUAAUAGAAUUUUAUCAAUUGAAUUUGUGAAAUUAAUUUGAUAAUAAAUUUUGAUUUUUUACCUAAA